AAACCAACAGGGAUUGCCUCAGUAGCGGCGAGUGAAGCGGCAAGAGCUCAGAUUUGAAAUCGUGCUUUGCGGCACGAGUUGUAGAUUGCAGGUUGGAGUCUGUGUGGAAGGCGGUGUCCAAGUCCCUUGGAACAGGGCGCCCAGGAGGGUGAGAGCCCCGUGGGAUGCCGGCGGAAGCAGUGAGGCCCUUCUGAC
rnacentral:rRNA from 2 species